UCACCAAACACCAACUGAUCACCUAAGUACACUAUGUAUACAAACCCUCGUGGUUUCUACUUUUAAAGAGCACAAAUAAAACUGUGAAGACAUACCUGGGUACAAGUACCUAGAAUAAGGAGGUAUUUGCUAAGUCUCAUAAAAGGUGAAAAAAAAUUGCAUGGAUGUUUACAACAUGUAGAGGUCUCUUUCAGAGGAGAAAUACCUGUGCAAACUAGGUGGCAUUUUCAUCGGAAUGUGUAAAACAGUGAGCAAACAUGAAGUUUGGAAAGCACAAAGCAAAAAGCUUCUGGGGAGAAGUGAGAGAUAAAACUGGAAAGGUAUUUUGGGGCCAUAUCUGGAGCAGGGCUUGAAUCCUAAAAAGAGUUAAAAAUGAUUGGAAAAGGGGCUGUGUGGGAUGAGCAGUGAGUCAGCAAGAGAUGAAUAAAAGAAGUGCUGAGCAGAAAGGACAGCUCAGUUAAAGUGAACAAGCAUAAAUUUGUGGCAGACUCAAUCAGUGCAGCUUUCUCUAGCAGCACUCUUCAGCCUAGCUAGGAAAUAUUUAGAAGUUCAAGGUCCAUGGGAAAUUUUAGGCAAUAAGUGAAGGCACUGCUGAGUCGGCUGACCAUGAAAACAAGCUAGACGGAAGAAAUAAAGUUGGAAGUUAACAGACAAGAAGAAAAAGAGCAGAGUCAGGGUUGUGAUGAGAAGGAAGACCAGGAUUAGUAUGAGAAAGAAAUUUAGAAUGGCUGACAUUAAAGAGAUUGUGGAAGAGGCAAGAUACUCAGAAUUGGAGAUUCAUAGAUGAUGAGAUCCAAGGAUGGAGAGGAGUUGGGGAUCAUUGGUGUCAAGGAGGCUUGUGGACUCUUGCUCAUCUACCAAACAAAGAUGUUUGAUGAAAUGUUCCCUUCUGCUAUGGGGUGAUUCCAGCAGGAAGAGGCAGACUCCUAAGCAGCAUAGUCUCACUCAGAGCUGUCACUUGUGGCUGAGCCAUCACAGAACACUGUUUGACUUCUCCCGGCCUUUUGAAAUCUUACUGUCUGCAAGGAGUCUUACAAUACAAGGUAAGAAACCUCUAUACCACAGUCUCAAGAAUAUGCAAGUAUUUUUCCAGGCUCCUGACGAUCAUAAAUCACACUUUCUAUAGAAUUGUCCCUUUCCAGUAUCUCUCCUUAGACCAAAAGUUAACCACCUUUGCAACUUUCAUCUAAAGUUUUAUCUCUCAAUUAACAGUCAUUUUCCACAAUGGAGCACAGCUUGUAAUGAAUUCACGAAAUUUACUGCCUGUAUUACAACAAGGAGAAAAACACUGAAGCCUCUCUGAGGUCUAUAUCUUAGGCAGCGCAUGAUUUACUCCCCAGUGGGAAAAUUUACUCCUGCAUGCUAGCUUUGCAGCAGACAAGGUUUGGAUUGUACCUUAGAAAAGUUGCAAAGGCCUUUGAAUUGCACCUUUGUGAGGUCCUGUAAGUAAUCAAAAUUUAAAUGUUAAAUCCAUGAGGGGUCAAGCUCUGUGAUAUAGAGAAACUGCAGAAGUUGAAAAGAAAGGGGAAGUUACAACUAAUGAGAACAAGGAAGACUUAUGGAGAGAGCAGCCAUGGAGCAGUGCAUUGAUGUCUAAGUUGACAUUCAAUGGAAGAUUGUGGGGAAGAGAUUCCAAGAGGAUAAAAUGUCGUAUGCAAAGGCAAGAACAAGGAAUGAGCUGGUUCUAUUCUGGGUUCACUAAGUAGGCAAUGGGAUAGUAAAGUAGGAGAUAAACUAAGGUAGUAAAAGAAGCUGGAAUGAAAGUUCACCCGGUCUUGGGGAACUGGCAAAGCUAUAAUUUAAUCUCAAUUAAAUAUUCACUAGCAAUAGAAGUUACUGAAAGUUUAAGACAAGGGUGAUGUACUCAAGGAGACACAUUUGGCAGAAAGGCAAGAUGGAUUUAAAAACCUGAGAGCUUUCCAAUCUUCCUAUUUCUCACUAACAAAUAUAGACUGAAAAUAGCAGAUACUCAUCGUCCUGGCUGCAUUCACACUAACAGCAUAGAAAAGUGAACCAAUCCUGGGUCAUGAGAUAUAAGGAGAUAUCUUCUGAAAGUUAUUGAAAGGUAUCUGGGAAAGCUUUUCUCCCUUGUUAAGAAAGACUCAUGAAGAGAAAUCCUCCCUCUCCCUCUCCCUCUCCCUUCCUGCAGCUAAAAGUUCUUGUGUGAGAAUCUGAUGCUUGGAGCUGAAGUAGCUAUAGUGUGACCAUGAAGGGAAGGUCAGGGAAGUCGUGGAAAACCAUUCCAGAGGCCUGACAUUGCAGAACUAUUGAAGCAACCAUGGAAACUCCUGCUGAAAAUCUUCUUUAUGUGAAAGGAAAAUUAAAUCCUGAUGUUUAAAGCUACUUUUAGUUUGUUUUUGUGUUAGUUUCAACCAAAACUAGCUUCAGCCUGACACCAGAAGCUACAAUGAUGCUGGUGAAAGGUAGCAAUUUCCAGGAUGGUGCUAAUGAAUUUGGAAGUAAUGGGAUGCUUGUUUGUUUGUUUGUUUUUGUUGUUUUUGUUUUUAGAGACAGGGUCUUGCUCUGUCACCUAGGCUGGAGUGCACUGGAGCAACCAUAGCUCACUGCAGCCUUGACUUCUUGCGCUCAAGAAACACUCCUGCCUCAACCUCCUGCAUAGUUGAGGCUACUGGCUUGUGCCACCAUGCCAAGCUAAAUUAUUUUUAUUAUUUGAAGAGAUGAUGGUAAGGCUAGGUUUCCCAGGAUGGUCUCAAACUCUUGGCCUCAGCCAAUCCUUCUGCCUCAGUCUCCCAAAGUGCUGAGAUUUCAGGUGGGGAUGUGUGCAAGACAUGAGAUAAAAUAAAGGGAACCCCAUGGACUGAUUUAUCA
rnacentral:lncRNA from 13 species